GACGAACGCUGGCGGCGUGCCUAACACAUGCAAGUCGAACGGAGAUUUCAUUUAUGAAAUCUUAGUGGCGAACGGGUGAGUAACGCGUAGACAACCUGCCUUUUAGAUGGGGACAACACCGCGAAAGUGGUGCUAAUACCGAAUGUUGUAUUUUGGUUGCAUGACUGAGAUACUAAAGAUGGCCUCUAUAUAUAAGCUAUCGCUAAAAGAUGGGUCUGCGUCUGAUUAGCUAGUUGGUGAGGUAAUGGCUCACCAAGGCGACGAUCAGUAGCCGGUCUGAGAGGAUGAACGGCCACACUGGGACUGAGACACGGCCCAGACUCCUACGGGAGGCAGCAGUGGGGAAUCUUCCGCAAUGGACGAAAGUCUGACGGAGCAACGCCGCGUGAGUGAAGAAGGUUUUCGGAUCGUAAAGCUCUGUUUUCAGGGACGAAUGUGGGAUGUGUAAAUAAUGCAUCCUAAUGACGGUACCUGAGUAGAAAGCCACGGCUAACUACGUGCCAGCCGCCGCCGUAAGAC
rnacentral:rRNA from 1 species